ensembl:lncRNA
AUGGUCCUGGUCCCCACGGCCGCCUGCAAAUUCCUGGGCAGCUGGCAGGGGCCAUACACUGUAACGGAAAAGGUCGGCCCUGUCCCUUACCGAGUACGGCAGCCAGGAAGAAGAAAAGAGAACCAGCUGUAUCACGUGAAUCUCCUGAAACGCUGGGUCAGGACCAGAUCCCAGCUCUCUGCCCUCGCUAACACACCUCCCGUGGUUGUCGACAUAGACCCUCAUCUCUCAGCCGCCCAAAAGUCAGUUUUCCGAUGUGUUCUUACCCCACCCUGUGCGGACCCACGUCCUCGAACACGACGUCCGCACACCACCUGGACUCAUCGUCCGGCAGCGGCCUUAUCGUGUCCCAGAGGCUCGGCGACACGCCAUCGAGGAAGAGGUGAAGGAGAUGCUAAAGUUAGCCUCAUCAUCAUGGUUCCAAAGCCCAAUGGCACCUUCCGCUUCUGUAAUGACCUCCGCCGCUUAAACAAAGUGUCCGAGUUCGACGGCUACCCGAUGCCACGGGUUGACGAGCUGCUGGAUCGCCUGGGAAGGGCCCGGUUUAUCUCGACCCUAGACCUCACCAAGGGCUACUGGCAGGUCCCCUUAACAGAGCAGGCCAAACCGAAGACUGCGUUCUCAACCCCAAGUGGCCAUUGGCAGUACCGGGUCCUUCCCUUCGGCCUGCACGGGGCCCCCGCCACCUUCCAGCGCCUAAUGGACGUCCUCCUGCGGCCACACCAAGCCUAUGCAGCAGACUACCUCGAUGAUGUCAUUAUACACUCGGAGACUUGGGAGGACCAUCUGGAGCGGCUGUGGAAGGUGCUGUUGGAACUAUGCCGGGCUGGCCUGACCGCCAACCCCCGGAAGUGUCACCUGGCCCUCGCUGAAGCAAAGUACCUGGGCUACCAGGUGGGUCGCAGCCUCAUUAGACCCCAAGAGAAGAAGGUGACGGCUAUCCUCUCCAUGCCACGGCCUGCCUCCAAGACUCGGGUAACGGGCCUUUUUGGGGUUGGCGGACUACUACCACUGUUUUAUCCUUAA